rnacentral:rRNA from 1 species
UACGUAGGGUGCAAGCGUUGUCCGGAAUUAUUGGGCGUAAAGAGCUCGUAGGCGGUCUGUUGCGUCGGCUGUGAAAACCCGGGGGCUCAACUCCGGGCCUGCAGCCGAUACGGGCAGACUAGAGUUCGGCAGGGGAGACUGGAAUUCCUGGUGUAGCGGUGAAAUGCGCAGAUAUCAGGAGGAACACCGGUGGCGAAGGCGGGUCUCUGGGUCGAUACUGACGCUGAGGAGCGAAAGCGUGGGGAGCAAACAGG